AUACGUAGGGGGCGUGCGUUGUCCGGAAUGAUUGGGCGUAAAGGGCGCGUAGGCGGCCUGUUAAGUCUGGAGUGAAAGUCCUGUUUUCAAGAUGGGAAUUGCUUUGGAUACUGAUGGGCUUGAGUGCAGGAGAGGUUAUCGGAAUUCCCGGUGUAGCGGUGAAAUGCGUAGAGAUCGGGAGGAACACCAGUGGCGAAGGCGGGUAACUGGACUGCAACUGACGCUGAGGCGCGAAAGUGUGGGGAGCAAACAGGAUUAGAUACCCUGGUAGUCCACACUGUAAACGAUGAAUGCUAGGUGUAAGAGGUAUCGACCCCUUUUGUGCCGGAGUUAACACAGUAAGCAUUCCGCCUGGGGAGUACGGCCGCAAGGUUGAAACUCAAAGGAAUUGACGGGG
rnacentral:rRNA from 1 species